UACGUAGGGUGCGAGCGUUGUCCGGAAUUAUUGGGCGUAAAGCGCACGUAGGCGGAUAUUUAAGUCAGGGGUGAAAUCCCAGAGCUCAACUCUGGAACUGCCUUUGAUACUGGGUAUCUUGAGUAUGGAAGAGGUAAGUGGAAUUGCGAGUGUAGAGGUGAAAUUCGUAGAUAUUCGCAGGAACACCAGUGGCGAAGGCGGCUUACUGGUCCAUUACUGACGCUGAGGUGCGAAAGCGUGGGGAGCAAACAGG
rnacentral:rRNA from 1 species